rnacentral:rRNA from 1 species
AUUGAACGCUGGCGGCAUGCCUUACACAUGCAAGUCGAACGGCAGCGCGGGAGCAAUCCUGGCGGCGAGUGGCGAACGGGUGAGUAAUAUAUCGGAACGUGCCCAGUAGUGGGGGAUAGCCCGGCGAAAGCCGGAUUAAUACCGCAUGAGACCUGAGGGUGAAAGCGGGGGAUCGCAAGACCUCGCGCUAUUGGAGCGGCCGAUAUCAGAUUAGCUAGUUGGUGGGGUAAAGGCCUACCAAGGCAACGAUCUGUAGUUGGUCUGAGAGGAUGAUCAGCCACACUGGGACUGAGACACGGCCCAGACUCCUACGGGAGGCAGCAGUGGGGAAUUUUGGACAAUGGGCGCAAGCCUGAUCCAGCAAUGCCGCGUGCAGGAAGAAGGCCUCGG